rnacentral:rRNA from 1 species
CGCUGGCGGCGUGCUUACACAUGCAAGUCGAACGAUGAUGCCCAGCUUGCUGGGUGGAUUAGUGGCGAACGGGUGAGUAACACGUGAGUAACCUGCCCCUGACUCUGGGAUAAGCGUUGGAAACGACGUCUAAUACUGGAUAUGACUACUGGCCGCAUGGUCUGGUGGUGGAAAGAUUUUUUGGUUGGGGAUGGACUCGCGGCCUAUCAGCUUGUUGGUGAGGUAAUGGCUCACCAAGGCGACGACGGGUAGCCGGCCUGAGAGGGUGACCGGCCACACUGGGACUGAGACACGGCCCAGACUCCUACGGGAGGCAGCAGUGGGGAAUAUUGCACAAUGGGCGAAAGCCUGAUGCAGCAACGCCGCGUGAGGGAUGACGGCCUUCGGGUUGUAAACCUCUUUUAGUAGGGAAGAAGGGAGCCGCAAGGCUUUUGACGGUACCUGCAGAAAAAGCACCGGCUAACUACGUGCCAGCAGCCGCGGUAAUACGUAGGGUGCAAGCGUUGUCCGGAAUUAUUGGGCGUAAAGAGCUCGUAGGCGGUUUGUCGCGUCUGCUGUGAAAUCCCGAGGCUCAACCUCGGGCUUGCAGUGGGUACGGGCAGACUAGAGUGCGGUAGGGGAGAUUGGAAUUCCUGGUGUAGCGGUGGAAUGCGCAGAUAUCAGGAGGAACACCGAUGGCGAAGGCAGAUCUCUGGGCCGUAACUGACGCUGAGGAGCGAAAGCAUGGGGAGCGAACAGGAUUAGAUACCCUGGUAGUCCAUGCCGUAAACGUUGGGCGCUAGAUGUAGGGACCUUUCCACGGUUUCUGUGUCGUAGCUAACGCAUUAAGCGCCCCGCCUGGGGAGUACGGCCGCAAGGCUAAAACUCAAAGGAAUUGACGGGGGCCCGCACAAGCGGCGGAGCAUGCGGAUUAAUUCGAUGCAACGCGAAGAACCUUACCAAGGCUUGACAUACACCGGAAACGGCCAGAGAUGGUCGCCCCCUUGUGGUCGGUGUACAGGUGGUGCAUGGUUGUCGUCAGCUCGUGUCGUGAGAUGUUGGGUUAAGUCCCGCAACGAGCGCAACCCUCGUUCUAUGUUGCCAGCGCGUUAUGGCGGGGACUCAUAGGAGACUGCCGGGGUCAACUCGGAGGAAGGUGGGGAUGACGUCAAAUCAUCAUGCCCCUUAUGUCUUGGGCUUCACGCAUGCUACAAUGGCCGGUACAAAGGGCUGCGAUACCGUAAGGUGGAGCGAAUCCCAAAAAGCCGGUCUCAGUUCGGAUUGAGGUCUGCAACUCGACCUCAUGAAGUCGGAGUCGCUAGUAAUCGCAGAUCAGCAACGCUGCGGUGAAUACGUUCCCGGGCCUUGUACACACCGCCCGUCAAGUCAUGAAAGUCGGUAACACCCGAAGCCGGUGGCCUAACCCUUGUGGGAGGAGCCGUCGAAGGUGG